rnacentral:rRNA from 1 species
UACGUAGGGGGCUAGCGUUGUCCGGAUUUAUUGGGCGUAAAGAGCGUGUAGGCGGCCAGAUAGGUCUGCUGUGAAAACUCGAGGCUCAACCUCGAGAUGUCGGCAGAAACCAUCUGGCUAGAGUCCGGAAGAGGAGAGUGGAAUUCCCGGUGUAGCGGUGAAAUGCGCAGAUAUCGGGAAGAGCACCCGUGGCGAAGGCGGCUCUCUGGGACGGUACUGACGCUGAGACGCGAAAGCGUGGGGAGCGAACAGG